UGGGGAAUUUUCCGCAAUGGGCGCAAGCCUGACGGAGCAAGACCGCGUGAGGGAAGACGGUCUGUGGAUUGUAAACCUCUUUUGAUAGGGAAGAAGGACUGACGGUACCUAUCGAAUCAGCCUCGGCUAACUCCGUGCCAGCAGCCGCGGUAAUACGGAGGAGGCAAGCGUUAUCCGGAAUUAUUGGGCGUAAAGCGUCCGUAGGUGGUUGGUCAAGUCAGCUGUUAAAGCGCGGAGCUUAACUCCGUAAGGGCAGUUGAAACUGGUCAGCUAGAGUGCGAUAGGGGCAAGGGGAAUUCCCAGUGUAGCGGUGAAAUGCGUAGAUAUUGGGAAGAACACCGGUGGCGAAAGCGCCUUGCUGGGUCUGCACUGACACUGAGGGACGAAAGCUAGGGGAGCGAAUGGGAUUAGAUACCCCAGUAGUC
rnacentral:rRNA from 1 species